UCGGUUCUUUUUUCAUUUAUUUUCUGCAAAGUAAAAAUCUCUGUUCAAAGUGCAUUAGAACAUCAGGUUGGCACAGGGCAGGUUUCAUGACAUCCUGCACAUCAGUCACCACAAACACAAGUUUACCUUUAACACAGUCCACACUGGUUCCAGGAUCUAUGGAAAAACUAUGAAAUUACGGACAUCAGUAAACCAUCUUCACUUGGGGGGUAAAAUCCACUUGCUUAAUGGACACGACGACACAAUCCAAGACAAUUUGACACAGUAUGAACUACAUUCUGACUGCCAUAAAAGACAUUUAUGUCCUCAUUGCAGACACUCUUACUAACAGCUAUAGAUUAUGUUGUUUCAAACAGACCUCAGAAAAAUGGAAAUACACCUCAAAUAAACACUACAAAAUGUUUUCAUGAAGUUGCAAUUUGGGUGAUACUGAUAACAAAAAUAUAUUUUGGGGGGGUUUUUUGUCCAUGAGAGGAAAAAGAAACAAAGCAAAGUAUGCCAAACACAUACAGAAGCCUAAAGAGGUCAUGGUUAGAACUAACAAGUUGUCAUUUUUGCCAUUUAAUUAAAAAAUAAAAACAAACUUUGGAUAAUGUGAUUUUCCUAAUUUCUCACAGAAAAAAAGGAAGAAACAACAACCCAAACAGAAAUCUGUUUAAUAAAACAGAAAAAAAAAUGAGGAAAGAUUAAAUUUUGAGAAAAUCUGAGGCCGUUUUUAAACCAUGCAGAAAUAGUCGUUUAUACAAACUCUCCUUUCAUGGGGGAAUAAUCAUCUCUCUCAGCAAACUCUACAGUUGAGCUAAGUGAUGUUCCUGCCUCCUAUGCAGGGGUAUUGCCAUUUGUGUAUUUUUCCAGUAUCUUUAAGCAAGGAACAAGAUUUUAGGUACUGGAAGCUUUCUGAAUUAACUAGACAAUCGAAGAGGAGAACAAAAGAGGACCGUCAUCGUCUGAAACGUCUCAAAAGCAUCAGCUAUCAUUUGAUGAGGAGAAAUCAGAGCAGGCAGUUAAGAACUGCUUUGAGAUUUACACAUCAAACUUUUACAGUUUUUUUUUUUUAUUGUACCUUCGGUUUUUAUGAUGAACAAAAACAUAUAUAUAUGGGAAUAAAUUCAAAACCAAAUGAGACCAAUGUGACAAAGACAAUAUCAUUAAAAAAAAAAAAAAGUUUGUUUGAGAAAAACAAAGAUAACAGCCUGCCAUACUGAUCCCCUCGAGGUCUUGUGACCCAAUCAGUGCAUUGCCACAAGACAAGAGAGUUGUCUCCUCUCAAAGAAGAAUGCGAGCAGCGACAGGAAGGGUUAAAUGCAUUUACAGCAGAACAACAUCUCAAACGUUACAUUUUCAUUUGAAAUCUGUGUAGGUUUCAGAUGAACCCAGAAAGGUCACCUUGCUGUUGUGGAACAGUUCAAGUUCCCUCUCAUUCAGUCACUAACUGAUCAUGGCUUUAUGUUUCCCUUGGCUUUAUCACACAAAGAUGUGCUUCAGUGAUUAUUUGGUGAAGUUCCAUCAGCUGUGUACUCUACUGGAAGAAUACACCAAAUACAAUGUGCUCAAGAAAAGGCAAAGUAAUUCAGUUUAUGGCAAUGGAUACUGACUUCAAGGACCGCCUUUGUUUGUAGCGCACAGCUAAAUCACUGAGAAUCAUUCGGCAAAGGACCGGAUGACGAAAUCAGUCUGAAACCAAGACACUGAGUAGAUUAUAUGGCAAAAUGGAAAUGCACCUGAUCUCCAGAGUUUCUGUAAUAGAAAGAGACCAGCCUCAUGUGACAGAGCUUUUACCAUCUCAUUCUUUAUCAAACAUCUGCUGCUUUCUCUCUUUGUGGGAAAUAGUGUAAAACGUUUGCUCUUUGCUGAAUUCAAUGUGCACGUUUGAAGGAAUGUUGAAAUGUAAUGAAAAUGACUGAAUAAAUGGCUUAACAUUCAAGUUGCUUCUUACAAAGGCAUGGGAAAGAGCACAGUGAGGUAAGCCAAACGAAGACUGGAGAAAACAUACCAGUUACAUGAACAAGCAAAGACACAAUGCAUUAAUAAGACAAUAUAUACUCAAUAUCUUUUAAAAGAAUACAUUCACUGUGAGAAUCUAAAAAAUAUAGUAAUAAACAAUUAAGUAUGGCCUUGUUCCUGUGAUUCACUGGAAGACAUGUGCAAAGGAACACUGCUGAAAUGUCGUCUGUAGCAAUGAAAGCUAAUGAAAUGUCAAUACCUUUAAAGGAACCCUCUAACAUUUGGAAAAUCUGAGUAUUUAACACAGUGAGGUUUGUUUAACAUAAAUCUGCCAUUAAUGGCUUGCAGUCCAAUAGUUGGAAAAAAAAAAAUCCUUUAUUUUUUCUGGUUGUUAUUCACUGACCUCUAUGGAAAACAUCAUGAUCCCAGGGAAAGUGUGAAGGAGAAUUCAUAAAGAUUUCUUUAAAAAGAGAAUGUUGUUUGUGGAACUGCCAUGAAAAUAAUAAUGAAAUAAUAAUAAAACCUGAAAUUAUCCAAAAAAAAAAAAAAGUUUGAAUAGCCUACAGAUGAUCAAAAAUAUGAAAUGCCGUGCUGGAGAGGACCUAGUUUAACUUUACGAUUUAUAAUCUGUCACUGACAUAAAACGAACAAUCAGACUAAGGGUUGGCGUUACAGCAACGGUGCUUCUGUUUGAUCUGAAAUGUUAGAAAUGUUUGUUUAACCUCCAAAAUGAUUCUAAUAGCAUAACUGCUCGUGAAUUCAAGGAGUUCAGUUCACACCACACCAAUGUCAUUUCUUUAUAACGUGACAGCACAACCACAUGCAGGGUUUAGCUGCUAUAAAACGGAUACGACACCGUCACAGCCUGCAAUCCUGCACAAUCCUCAACUUUUCAAACCAACCUGGCUAGUUUCCAAAAAUCUCAGAUUUAAUCCUCCUCAGAGGGCGGAGUAGUUUUAAUGCUAGCUGUAAACACAGCAGGAGCUGUGCGUUUUAAGAUGAAGCGGUGUUAGUGUGUCUGUCUGACCUUCAAGUGGAAGAGCUGCCAGCCAAACAGGCUCUGUGAGCGCGGCCUACAAGUGAACUGACAUUAACAGAGUGACAGUGGGUGGAAAAUCCUCAGCUUGAUGACUUAAAUGUCUCUGUGGUCUCUCUCUGGCCUGUUAGCUAAAGCAGACACCACAGUGUGCACUCUGGCCCUGAUCCACCAACAUCAGGCUUCAACACACGCGGCCACAUCUGAUGGAAACUUAACCAGAGCAAUGGAAACACAUCUUGCAGUGUAAUUAGCUGGCAGCAGCACCUGUGCAGCAUUUUUGUCUUUCUGAGAAAACAUCAACGCUUCUAUAGAGUUAAGUUUUCCACAUAUUCAUUUACCUUGAAUACAGUUUGAGAGGCUGGUUCAAGUUCACCCGUCUGUGCUGAUCAGAUCCUGGUUUAUACAUAAGUCGAUUUUUAGCUUUGCCAUCUCUUAUGAAAACUAAAAUGAUGCUUUACUGACCAUUUCCAUCACUAGACUAUAAACAAGCCAGAAGUGUAUCCAGACUAUUUAAUUGACUUCACAUGAGGUCAAACUCAAAGUACUGACAGCUGGGAUCUAAUACCCUCUCUCUCUCUCUCUCUCUCUCUAAUCUGCUGGUUUUAUUCAGAAAAUUAUUCACUUAUCAAUUCUUUGUCCUGUACAAGGUUGUUGACUGGAAGCUUUUGCAGCUUCCCGUGGUCACGUGACUGUUCGCAGCUGAUUUCAGAUGGCACUGCCUGGUGUGUCGCUGUCUGAUGAAAAGCCGGUGUGCUUGAAAUGUCCCUAGAUGUAAUAAAUGAGGAAUCUGGAGUUCUGCAGUGUGCGAACAGCUACUUCUUUCUCUUUUAUAGAAAUGAUGGUCAAGAUUACAACAGACUAAUACUACAACAGACCCAGGUGUCUCACACCUGCAACUGUGAGGACAGAGCUGCAGUAAUUCACCAUGUUGAUAAUGAUUACUUUAGAAAAGCUUCAACAGUGAGUCUGAGUCUAGCUUUGUGGUUGGAAAUUACAACAAGUGUGCAUCAUUCAGUGCCAGCUGUAGUUAAAAACGUGGAAAAUGUGAUAUCUUAAAGACGGGAAGGGCCGAGAAAUAUAACGACACCACAGAAAUAUGGCAAAUUUUAGCCACAACGUCACAUUAGAUUUCUGUCAAAUGUUGCAAGAGUGAUUUUAUACACUUAGAUCUAUGUGUGAUUCAUUUUUACCCCAUUUUUCUGUAGAGUAUUAAUAACAAAACAAAUAAUCUACUUUGCAGUAAACAGUGCAACACUGUGUACAGGGGCUGGAAUGGGAAGGUUCCAAAAUGUGACUGAGAUCUGAUGAACAUUUCUUCACUAUCAAGGUUAUAUAUCCAAUUGUAAAGAGCAAAUAUAAUAAUAACUGUAAUUAUUAUUGUUGUUAUCAAAUCAGCAACACCAAAUUCCAAAAAUGUAAACAAACACCGUCUAAAACAGUCAUUUCUGAAUUGAAAGAACUUCAAAAGUUGUCAAGCAGAAACUGUUUUGUGCACUGCUGCAUGAAGCACUGAAUAACUUUAUUAUCACUGUUGCCAAUUAAACCACAUUAAAAAGAAUUUGCAAUGUGACAUAUUUUAAAUGCCUUAAGCGCAGAGCUAAUCUUUGUCAGUUACACACCCUAUUUGGCACUGAGAUGUAUGUCCAUUGACUUUUUCAAAAAUAAAAUAAGCAUCAAGGUAAUGACAAGGAAAUGAAUCAUUGGGCAUAACAUUCUGAUUUGGUCCUUAUAUAGAUGUCACUUAGGAAAAAAAUGUUUGCAAAUUUAAAAAAAAAUACAAUAAAUUAUUUGCUAGUUUGAUUUUUUUACAACUCUACUUUUAGAUAAUCUCGACAUUUCUUACCAGCAGUAAAUUAACUGAUGACGAGGUCAUCUGCUGAGCUUUGGAAACGUCCCAACUGAGCCAGCCAACAUCUAAUCGAUUCCAAUCCUGUCAGGGGCCACUAGCAG
ensembl:lncRNA